rnacentral:piRNA from 1 species
CAACAACGUACGUGUCAUGAUGCCGG